rnacentral:rRNA from 1 species
AACGAACGCUGGCGGCAGGCUUAACACAUGCAAGUCGAACGCACCGCAAGGUGAGUGGCAGACGGGUGAGUAACACGUGGGGAUCUGCCCAAUGGUACGGAAUAGCUCUGGGAAACUGGAAUUAAUACCGUAUGUGCCCGCAAGGGGAAAGAUUUAUCGCCAUUGGAUGAACCCGCGUCGGAUUAGCUAGUUGGUGUGGUAAAGGCGCACCAAGGCGACGAUCCGUAGCUGGUCUGAGAGGAUGAUCAGCCACACUGGGACUGAGACACGGCCCAGACUCCUACGGGAGGCAGCAGUGGGGAAUAUUGGACAAUGGGCGCAAGCCUGAUCCAGCCAUGCCGCGUGAGUGAUGAAGGCCUUAGGGUUGUAAAGCUCUUUCGCCGACGAAGAUAAUGACGGUAGUCGGAGAAGAAGCCCCGGCUAACUUCGUGCCAGCCGCCGCUGUAACAC